CCCACUACAACCACCACUAAACAACACCUUUGUGCUACCUUCUCCGACCACCAAUAUUCUAUACACCAACUUUUCAUCCUUACACCCCAAACACUAUACAAAAUGAAUCACCUUCAACCUCCCCGAUUUCCUCCAUAACCACCAUAAAUCAAACUUCAUCAAACUCCCUCCAACCAUGACAGAGCACAAACCCACAGUUUUCUAUCCAACACAAAACCCCUCACUGUGAAACAACAAUAACUCUCACUAUCUCAUUUUCAAAUCCAUUCAAAAUAUCUUAGGGAGUGUGGAUAUUUUUCUUGAAUCUGAUGCGAAUACAUGUUGUGUGUCUUAUUUGUAGGGUAGAAAUUGGUUAUGGUUAUAGCAAUUGCUUUCUUAAGCAUGAAAUGGAACGGUAGAUGCACAAUCAUCAUGGUUAGAGACAUAGCAUGAUUUUUAAAGCUUCAGUCAUCUCUUUUUCCAAUAACGACGGUUAGCCGACGGUAACGAUUUAAAAGAAUUUCUUCUCCGGUGUUAUGUUUAUUGCUCUAAUGUUGGUUUCGGUUUUGAUCUGAUCACGUUGCUUACUUGCUGCAGUUAUGAUUACAUCAACUUUGAUUUUACGAAUUUUCAUUCCAAGUUUAAAAACUGUGUCUAUUAAGCUAAGACUUUAGAAAUUAUUUGUGUAAUUUUUGUGGUUUAUUUGUGCACAGUUCCGUUAGUAAUUGCGAUUCGGUUACGCAGUGGUGAUGUUAUUCUAUUUUGCAUUGUGUGAUCUUCUUCUGUUGUUGUUUCCACCUUUGACAUUAUAAUUUGUUAACUUUAGUAAGUCUUAAUUUAAUUUUAAAUUUGGUUUAGAUCAUAGUGUUGUAUUGGUCACUGUAUUCUAAACUGGAUUGUUACUGGUAUAACAUGUACGUAUGCAUGUUGCUAUAACAUAUACUAUCCAUGCGUUGUGUUCUUUUUUAAGUUUACAUUAUUUUAAUUUAUUUUUA
rnacentral:lncRNA from 1 species